AACAAGAGGGGAGCUUGUGGGAAACAGGCUGAGAACAGACUGUAUUGUCUGGACCCGUUACCUGAUUUGGAUAAUGCCAACGUAGGGAUAUAA
rnacentral:ncRNA from 1 species